rnacentral:rRNA from 1 species
UACGUAGGGGGCUAGCGUUGCUCGGAAUCACUGGGCGUAAAGGGUGCGUAGGCGGGUCUUUAAGUCAGGGGUGAAAUCCUGGAGCUCAACUCCAGAACUGCCUUUGAUACUGAAGAUCUUGAGUUCGGGAGAGGUGAGUGGAACUGCGAGUGUAGAGGUGAAAUUCGUAGAUAUUCGCAAGAACACCAGUGGCGAAGGCGGCUCACUGGCCCGAUACUGACGCUGAGGCACGAAAGCGUGGGGAGCAAACAGG